CUAGACCGCCGGAUCCGGCGGCCGGACCGCUGGAUCCGGCGGUCCGGAUGGCCGGAUCUGGCCUCCGGA
rnacentral:pre_miRNA from 1 species